GUGCGAUAGAUGUGAAGAAAUGCAUACUUCCCAGCCAGGACUGGAUCAGGAGGCUGAGGGGCCAGCUAUUGCCAAAAGCAUGCACAGUGAGAAUAUGUUAUCUCCCCCGUUUCUUGGGAACAUGGAUCUUUCCUCCGUGACCUGGCAUUACUGCUGACUACAAUACAGUGACUUAAGGUGACUUUCAGCAGUACUGACAUUUUAUGGAGCAGGAAGGGAAAAAGGAAUGGCUGCUGUAAAGAGUGAGACCACCCCCUGCCCGGUCUCUGGCUUCCUGUCCUGCCAUGUGGUGUCUCCCACAUGUGCUUCUGUGAUCAUGAUGCCAUCUUCUCUGAGGCCCUCAUCUGAGUCAA